UUAGUAACGGCGAGUGAAGCGGCAAAAGCUCAAAUUUGAAAUCUGGUACCUUCGGUGCCCGAGUUGUAAUUUGGAGAGGGCAACUUUGGGGCCGUUCCUUGUCUAUGUUCCUUGGAACAGGACGUCAUAGAGGGUGAGAAUCCCGUGUGGCGAGGAGUGCGGUUCUUUGUAAAGUGCCUUCGAAGAGUCGAGUUGUUUGGGAAUGCAGCUCUAAGUGGGUGGUAAAUUCCAUCUAAAGCUAAAUAUUGGCGAGAGACCGAUAGCGAACAAGUACAGUGAUGGAAAGAUGAAAAGAACUUUGAAAAGAGAGUGAAAAAGUACGUGAAAUUGUUGAAAGGGAAGGGCAUUUGAUCAGACAUGGUGUUUUGUGCCCUCUGCUCCUUGUGGGUAGGGGAAUCUCGCAUUUCACUGGGCCAGCAUCAGUUUUGGUGGCAGGAUAAAUCCAUAGGAAUGUAGCUUGCCUCGGUAAGUAUUAUAGCCUGUGGGAAUACUGCCAGCUGGGACUGAGGACUGCGACGUAAGUCAAGGAUGCUGGCAUAAUGGUUAUAUGCCGCCCGUCUUGAAACACGGACAA
rnacentral:rRNA from 1 species